rnacentral:rRNA from 1 species
AUGGUGGGCACCAAACUCGCAGCUCUUGGGGUCUUUGUUAUUUUGAGCAUUGGAUUAGCCAGUGCUGCAAGAGUGGCCAGAUACUCUAGUGCAGCAGAGACCAGCAUGGGAGGGGAAGGAGGGGGCGGUGGGUAUGUGACUGGCGGCGGCUCGGGGUCAGGGACCGGUGUUGGGUCUGCUGAGAGUGGAGGUGGUGGAGUCCGUGCAAGCAUUGUUGGCGGUGAAGACGGAAGCGGCAGCAGCCAAUAUGGUGGUUCGGGAUACGACGAAGGAUCUGGCUCGGGCAUGAGCUCCGGUACGUAUAACAAAAGGUCCCAUUAUGAUUUCGGUGGAUAUUCAAGCAGUGCCGCGAAUGGCGGUGGUGGCGGUGGGGGACAAGCUGGAGAUCGCGAUGGAUCAAGCGGUCAUGGUGUCGGCAGUGGCAUUGCCUCUGGCUCUGGUAAGGCAGACGGAGUUUCUAGAGGACCUAGUUAUGUAAAUGCUAAAUCCGAUGGAAAUGGUGGCGGCAAAGGCAGCGCUCAAAAUGGCGGGAGCGGUGGUGGUCAAGGUGGUGGAUCUGGGAGUGGUGAUGCACACCCUUAA